GCUACGGCCAUACCAGCCUGGGUACGCCCGAACUCGUCUGAUCUCGGAAGCUAAGCAGGGUCGGGCCUGGUUAGUACUUGGAUGGGAGACCGCCUGGGAAUACCAGGUGCUGUAAGCA
rnacentral:rRNA from 1 species